GGCGAGUGAAGCGGCAACAGCUCAAAUUUGAAAUCUGGCGUCUUCGGCGUCCGAGUUGUAAUUUGCAGAGGGCGCUUUGGCAUUGGCAGCGGUCCAAGUUCCUUGGAACAGGACGUCACAGAGGGUGAGAAUCCCGUACGUGGUCGCUAGCCUUUACCGUGUAAAGCCCCUUCGACGAGUCGAGUUGUUUGGGAAUGCAGCUCUAAAUGGGAGGUAAAUUUCUUCUAAAGCUAAAUACUGGCCAGAGACCGAUAGCGCACAAGUAGAGUGAUCGAAAGAUGAAAAGCACUUUGGAAAGAGAGUUAAAAAGCACGUGAAAUUGUUGAAAGGGAAGCGCUUGCAGCCAGACUUGCCUGUAGUUGCUCAUCCGGGUUUUUACCCGGUGCACUCUUCUAUGGGCAGGCCAGCAUCAGUUUGGGCGGUUGGAUAAAGGUCUCUGUCAUGUACCUCUCUUCGGGGAGAACUUAUAGGGGAGACGUCAUGCAACCAGCCUGGACUGAGGUCCGCGCAUCUGCUAGGAUGCUGGCGUAAUGGCUGUAAGCGGCCCGUCUUGAAACACGGACCAAGGAGUCUAACAUCUAUGCGAGUGUUUGGGUGUCAAGCCCGAGCGCGUAAUGAAAGUGAACGGAGGUGGGAACCUUUCGGGGUGCACCAUCGACCGAUCCUGAUGUCUUCGGAUGGAUUUGAGUAAGAGCAUAGCUGUUGGGACCCGAAAGAUGGUGAACUAUGCUUGAAUAGGGUGAAGCCAGAGGAAACUCUGGUGGAGGCUCGCAGCGGUUCUGACGUGCAAAUCGAUCGUCAAAUUUGGGCAUAGGGGCGAAAGACUAAUCGAACUAUCUAGUAGCUGGUUCCUGCCGAAGUUUCCCUCAGGAUAGCAGUAACGUUUUCAGUUUUAUGAGGUAAAGCGAAUGAUUAGAGGCCUGGGGGUUGAAACAACCUU
rnacentral:rRNA from 1 species